CCUACGGGCGGCAGCAGUGGGGAAUAUUGGACAAUGGGCGAAAGCCUGAUCCAGCCAUGCCGCGUGUGUGAAGAAGGCCUUCGGGUUGUAAAGCACUUUCAGUGGGGAAGAAAGCCUUGGGGCUAAUACCCUCGAGGAAGGACAUCACCCACAGAAGAAGCACCGGCUAACUCCGUGCCAGCAGCCGCGGUAAUACGGAGGGUGCGAGCGUUAAUCGGAAUUACUGGGCGUAAAGCGCGCGUAGGCGGUCUGAUAAGCCGGUUGUGAAAGCCCCGGGCUCAACCUGGGAACGGCAUCCGGAACUGUCAGGCUAGAGUGCAGGAGAGGAAGGUAGAAUUCCCGGUGUAGCGGUGAAAUGCGUAGAGAUCGGGAGGAAGACCAGUGGCGAAGGCGGCCUUCUGGACUGACACUGACGCUGAGGUGCGAAAGCGUGGGUAGCAAACAGGAUUAGAUACCCUUGUAGUC
rnacentral:rRNA from 1 species